rnacentral:rRNA from 1 species
GGGGAGCAAACAGCUAUGGGUCAAGCCCGAUACCUUUAAGAGAAGUCUUAUUGUGAGGGCGAGUUGUAUAACACCAUAGGGCUGGCCGUCCCAUAUGAAAAGAUUUUAUUAGAAUUGAAUGAAACUUUGUUUAUAUAUUGAUAAUGACAGUAUAUAUAUCGUGUCUUGACUAAUUGCGUGCCAGCAGUCGCGGUAAUACGUAAGAGACUAGUGUUAUUCAUCUUAAUUAGGUUUAAAGGGUACCCAGACGGUCUAUAUAGCUUAUAAAAUGUUAGUAUAAGACUAGAGUUUUAUGUAAGAGGGCAGUACUUGAGGAGGAGAGAUGAAAUUUCGUGAUACCAAAGGGACUCUGUAAAGGCGAAGGCAGCCCUCUAUGUAAAAACUGACGUUGAAGGACGAAGGCACAGAGAACAAACAGGAUUAGAUACCCAAGUAGUCUUUGCAGUAAAUGAUGAAUGCCAUAGGUUAGAUCUAUAUUUCUAUUAUAAUAAUACAUUUCUAUUAUUUAUUAUAAAACGCAUUCCUUAUAUAGCUUCGCGCUAUAAUAUAUUUUAUAUAUAGUGCAGCAGAAAUUUUUGUAUCUGGUCUAUAAAUGAAAGUGUAAGCAUUUCACCUCAAGAGUAAUGUGGCAACGCAGGAACUGAAAUCACUAGACCGUUUCUGACACCAGUAGUGAAGUAU